UACGUAGGGGCCAAGCGUUGUCCGGAUUUAUUGGGCGUAAAGAGCUCGUAGGCGGUUCGGCAAGUCAGCUGUGAAAUCUCCACGCUCAACGUGGAGGGGUCAGCUGAUACUGCUGUGACUCGAGUCCGGUAGGGGAGUGUGGAAUUCCCGGUGUAGCGGUGAAAUGCGCAGAUAUCGGGAGGAACACCAGUAGCGAAGGCGGCACUCUGGGCCGGUACUGACGCUGAGGUGCGAAAGCGUGGGGAGCAAACAGG
rnacentral:rRNA from 1 species